AGAGUUUGAUCCCCUAACACAUGCAAGUCGAGCGGAUGAAGGGAGCUUGCUCCUGGAUUCAGCGGCGGACGGGUGAGUAAUGCCUAGGAAUCUGCCUGGUAGUGGGGGAUAACGUCCGGAAACGGGCGCUAAUACCGCAUACGUCCUGAGGGAGAAAGUGGGGGAUCUUCGGACCUCACGCUAUCAGAUGAGCCUAGGUCGGAUUAGCUAGUUGGUGGGGUAAAGGCCUACCAAGGCGACGAUCCGUACUGGUCUGAGAGGAUGAUCAGUCACACUGGAACUGAGACACGGUCCAGACUCCUACGGGAGGCAGCAGUGGGGAAUAUUGGACAAUGGGCGAAAGCCUGAUCCAGCCAUGGUCUUCGGAUUGUAAAGCACUUUAAGUUGGGAGGAAGGGCAGUAAGUUAAUACCUUGCUGUUUUGACGUUACCAACAGAAUAAGCACCGGCUAACUUCGUGCCAGCAGCCGCGGUAAUACGAAGGGUGCAAGCGUUAAUCGGAAUUACUGACUGAGGGAUUAGAUACCCUGGUAGUCCACGCCGUAAACGAUGUCGACUAGCCGUUGGGAUCCUUGAGAUCUUAGUGGCCGCAGCUAACGCCGUAUAAGUUCGACCGCCUGGGGAGUACGGUCCGCAAGGUUUAAAACUCAAUGAAUUGACCGGGGGCCCGCACAGCGGUGGAGCAUGUGGUUUAAUUCGAAGCAACGCGAAGAACCUUACCUCUUUCCAGAGAUGGAUUGGUGCCUUCGGGAACUCAGACACAGGUGCUGCAUGGCUGUCGUCAGCUCGUGUCGUGACAUGUUGGGUUAAGUCCCGUAACGAGCGCAACCUUGUCCUUAGUUACCAGCACCUCGGGUGGGCACUCUAAGGAGACUGCCGGUGACAAACCGGAGGAAGGUGGGGAUGACGUCAAGUCAUCAUGGCCCUUACGGCCAGGGCUACACACGUGCUACAAUGGUCGGUACAAAGGGUUGCCAAGCCGCGAGGUGGAGCUAAUCCCAUAAAACCGAUCGUAGUCCGGAUCGCAGUCUGCAACUCGACUGCGUGAAGUCGGAAUCGCUAGUAAUCGUGAAGGCCUUGUACACACCGCCCGUCACACCAUGGGAGUGGGUUGCUCCAGAAGUAGCUAGUCUAACCGCAAGGGGGACGGUUACCACGGAGUGAUUCAUGAUGCAAGCCGCGAGGUCCGUAAC
rnacentral:rRNA from 1 species